GAAUUCCGGGUUCGAAGCCCGGCAGCGGAAUAAACCUUUUUUUGGUUGUAUUUUAAAACAGAAUACGCUAAUUUUUUGAAUAAAAUCGACUAUUCCGGUUUAAAAACGGUAAACCGAACUUAUACCAAAAGGAGAAGCAUGUUGGUUGGUUGAAGUCAGGGAUGGUAGAUAAUUGAGUCGGCUGAUUAUCAACGACGGGGGAGGACUUUGGGGUUCAUCGAUUGCUUCCAUGGAGAUUCCUAAAAUCUCAAAGCUUGACAAGCGAAUCGCCGAGCCGAGGAUGAAGAAGAAGAGAAUGAAACUUGAAUCGAUCACAUCUCUUAACAAUCUCGAUGAUGGUUGCCUCAUGCACAUCCUCAGCUUCCUCUCUCCAAUUCCUGAUAGGUAUAACACAGCACUCGUUUGCCACAGAUGGAGAUAUCUGGCUUGUCACCCUCGCUUGUGGCUACGAGUCGACCCUUUCGUGAAGGAUUUAUCCCUCCCUGGAGUUUUCCACAGCAUUGAAUCAGCUGUGUCUGCUGCCAGACCUGGCGAUACCAUUUUAAUUGGAGCUGGUGGGAAUCAUCAUGUCUCUAAUAUUCAGAUUAAAAAGCCUCUUUGCCUGGUAUGUGUCUAUUAGUCUAAUUGCUUGAUACCUCAUGGAAGUUUUUGCCUUUCCAUAAAUUAGUUUUCGCACGUUUCUUCCAUGGAUAAGAAACUAUGUUUUACAUCUUCAACAGUUUCACAAAAAAAAUAGUAAAUAAUAUAUGGAAGUGUUUAUACCAGCGUCUCUGUAAAGUAAAUAUAAUUUUUAUAUAAUAGCCGACCUAUCUAUUCUGAUGAGAGGAUGGAGAUCCACUCCAUGUUGUAGCUCUUGGUAUGAGAGAUCAAUAUGCAUUGAAAAGAUCCAAAACAGAACAAUCCCACAUUUUAGGUAGCUUAUACUGUCAUACAAUUAUAUUCCCUAUGCCCUAGCUGUUUGCCAGUUUGUAAAUUCUUUUCAGUGUUGCUUCUGAAGUCAACAUGAGAACUAAAGAAUGUUAAAAACUUAAAAAACAUGAGAACUAAAGUUCCUUGACCGUGGUGAGGACUCGAAGAAAAAGAAAAUAUUCAGUCUGGCUUCAAAGUCUGAGAAAAUUUUGGGAUUCUUUUGAGUCUUCAAGCCAUUGAUUAAUGGAUUCUCCCACAUAGUAGUCCUCAUUUUCUCAUAUUGGGCAACAUAUAGGAAGAUGGUAAGCGUGUAACGGAAAAAAAUUGAAAGUAUAGCAUGAUUUAGGAUGAAUAGAUGGAGUUACAGAAUAUGGAUGGUAGUUAUUUAAUCAGUACUGUAUUGAUGCACGUACAUUAGAAUGUCAGCGGUUGCCUUAUUAGUGACCUCCUUAGUUGCAGUAAAGUGGAAGACUCAGUGUCUUGGGCUGAAAUAGUAUUCAACCUUCUUUUCUGAGAAAUGGGUGAUUGGUAGUGGCGAGAUUCCUGAUGAAACCACCCUUGUAUGUUCUAGAGGAUCAGACAGGUUUGGAGCUCAUAUUCCCUUUUAAGUCAUCUCUCUCACUCUGCAGUUUUUUUCUUUUUAAAUACUUCAUUGGAGGUUUAGCGUCCUAGUAGUUACUGCUUAACGCAUUUAUGACAUCAUGUUAUAUGUCACCAUGCUAGUGUUUCUUUAUUUAUCACAAAGAAAGUUCUUUGGUAUACGGCUUUUUGUUGUUGGGUUUCUUUUGCAGUGCCCUGGAGUUGCUAUCAACCUGCAAGCUAGCGAAUCUAACAGUAAGAGCCGAGCUUGGCUGCUGCUUACUUCACAGGAGUGGAAGGCUAACUAUUGAUGGAUGUGUGCUUCAAUGUGAAACAAACCCUUUGGAUCAUCUCUCAUGCCCAAUCUUGAGUACUGCUGGAAGAGAUGAAGAAGAAGAUAACUUGAGCCUUGUGGAAGU